GGCGGCAUUAGACGGGAUCAAUCGCCGGAGGAGGCAGAUCGUCGGGGGAGGGUGAACGCCGGGGAAGGCGGCGGAUUUCGCGAGCCGGCCGGUCAAGGAGGAGGAUCCCUACCAAACGCACGAAGAGGCCUCGGAUCCGUGGGUUUACUCACGGAUUUCUCCACCGAUUUCUCGCCGGAAGGGCCGCCGGAGCAUCCCGCCGGACCGAGG
rnacentral:lncRNA from 1 species